GACGAACGCUGGCGGCGUGCUUAACACAUGCAAGUCGAACGGAAAGGCCCUGCUUUUGUGGGGUGCUCUAGGGGCGAACGGGUGAGUAACACGUGAGUAACCUGCCCUUGACUUUGGGAUAACUUCAGGAAACUGGGGCUAAUACCGGAUAGGAGCUCCUGCUGCAUGGUGGGGGUUGGAAGGUUUCGGCGGUUGGGGAUGGACUCGCGGCUUAUCAGCUUGUUGGUGGGGUAGUGGCUUACCAAGGCUUUGACGGGUAGCCGGCCUGAGAGGGUGACCGGCCACAGUGGGACUGAGAUACGGCCCAGACUCCUACGGGAGGCAGCAGUGGGGAAUAUUGCACAAUGGGCGGAAGCCUGAUGCAGCAACGCCGCGUGCGGGAUGACGGCCUUCGGGUUGUAAACCGCUUUCGCCUGUGACGAAGCGUGAGUGACGGUAAUGGGUAAAGAAGCACCGGCUAACUACGUG
rnacentral:rRNA from 1 species